rnacentral:rRNA from 1 species
GACGAACGCUGGCGGCGUGCCUAAUACAUGCAAGUCGAGCGAACAGACGGGGAGUUUGCUCCUAUGACGUUGGCGGCGGACGGGUGAGUCACACGUGGACAACCUACCUAUCAGACAGGGGUGACUUCAGCGAACCGGAGCUACUAACGGAUAAUAUAUCGAACCGGAUGGGUCACUAGUGAAAGACGGUAUUGCUGUCACUUAUAGAUGGAUCCGCCCGGCAUUAGCUAGUUGGUAAGGUAAUGGCUUAGCAAGGCAGCGAUGCGUAGACGACCUGAGCGCGUGGUUGCCCACAUGGGAAGUGAGACAGGGCCCAGACUCCGGCGCUAAGCAGCAGUAGGGAAUCUUCCGCAAUGGGGGAGAGCCUGACAGAGCACCGCCGCGUGAGGGAUGAAGGAGCUCGGAUCGGAAAGCGCUGUUAUUAGUGGAGAACUAAUGUUUAUGUAACUGUGCAGAUCUUGACGGUACCUGAACAAAAAGCCACGGCUAACUACGUG